rnacentral:rRNA from 1 species
CAGUAGCCACGGGAAUACGUAGGUGGCAAGCGUUGUCCGGAAUUAUUGGGCGUAAAGGGCUCGCAGGCGGUUUCUUAAGUCUGAUGUGAAGGCCCCCGGCUCAACCGGGGAGGGUCAUUGGAAACUGGGAAACUUGAGUGCAGAAGAGGAGAGUGGAAUUCCACGUGUAGCGGUGAAAUGCGUAGAGAUGUGGAGGAACACCAGUGGCGAAGGCGACUCUCUGGUCUGUAACUGACGCUGAGGAGCGAAAGCGUGGGGAGCGAACAGGAUUAGAUACCCCCGUAGUCCCUGUCUCUUAUAA